UCCCUGGUGGUCCAGUGGUUAGGACUCUGCGCUUUCACUGCAGUGGCCCGGGUUCAAGCCCUGGUCAGGGAA
rnacentral:tRNA from 1 species